AGGACGAACGCUGGCGGCGUGCCUCAUACAUGCAAGUGGAGCGACGAACCAGGCUUCGGCCUGGGGCAAAGCCGCGAACGGGUGAGUAACACGUGGGUAACCUGCCCCGAUGAUUGGGACAACCCGGGGAAACUCGGGCUAAUACCAAAUGUGCUCCUGGCCGUGAUGGCCAGGCGGAAAGGAAGCUUCGGCCUCCGCAUCGGGAUGGGCCCGCGGCCCAUUAGCUAGUUGGUGGGGUAAUGGCCUACCAAGGCGACGACGGGUA
rnacentral:rRNA from 1 species